AUACUCUGGUUUCUCUUCAGAUCGCACAAAUCUUUCGCCUUUUACUAAAGAUUUCCGUGGAGAGGAACAAUUAUGAGUGCGUAACCAGUUUUUUGAGGCCUUGCUUCGGCGAGGCU
rnacentral:snRNA from 1 species